AGUGCGGAAAUGCUUAUGGCUCGAUGCAUUACCGGGUCGCAUUUUAGGCUUUGCCUUCAACCUCGAAAUGUGAUCAAUGCAAUCAAAAUGAAUGCCCGUCUUUAGCUCGUGAGAGGAAAACUAUCCAUGCGGUUGUCUUCGUCACCGAGCCACAUAAGCACAUCUGUGAGUGGCUGGAUCACUCAAGGAAAAGCGCACUCUUGUGGACUCAGAGAGGAAACAAGUCAUUUUGUUUUAUUUAUUUUUUAUUUUUUUACACGUGUCCGGAUUUCUCCACGCUUGCCGGAUUUGCAGAAAGUUGGUGGCGUGGUCAAGGCGCUUAAGGGACAGCUGAUGACGCGCAGUUUUAACUUGAGGUGUUUAUUGUUGGUGACCUCGGUUGUCUUUUUUCCUUCCCUGGUGCACUUUCAAGCAUGUUUCGCUCUCUCGAUCGAGCGGCGCGCGUACACCAAGCCAGAAACGCACGGCGCCCACUCCCUGAGAUUUCUCAAUUUGACAUGGAGUGCCUUCAUAUGCCUCCUGCCACGUCACCCACCAUCGCGCGUCUUUGUUUCUGUAGACUUAUCGGAUUUCAUUCGACAUGAACCGCCUAUUUUGGUGGCGCAGUCAAUCGAUCAAUCGCACAAGCUUCAACCCUCUCUGCACUUUCAUUUCUAGGCUUGUGUCGCCCUCAAGCGGACAUUAUUGGAAGCUACAUACGAUGUACCGCGUUCCGGAGAGAGAGAACGAGGGUGAACCCAAGAGUUAGCGGUGCUGGAUCACAGUCGAGCCUCGUUCCUCCACACCUCGAGGGACAUCACGAAUCUUUCAGGAUGUGCCGCACCCUGAAGCCGUUAACGAUCAUCUUUCAAGCUGUUGGCCACCAACUUUGCCAAGCUUCCGUUUGGCAGACAUCUUCGGACACUCUGUGCGUCGUGUCACCCGGAAGUACAACCAUGUACGGACAGGGUCAAUCAGUAGUGUUGCUGAGCAACGGAGGGGAAUCUCAAGCCGUUCAUAAGCACUGGUCGUGGUGGCAGUUUGGUGGAACCAAAGCCUUUUCACUAUUUUGUGGGGAAAAUCCGGCCGUUAUAAUGACGUUGACAUUAAAAUGACUGUUGUUCUGUCUCCCCUGCAGCCAAAGCAAAUAUAAUCACCCACAUUCUACAAGUGGUUCUGUGCGGUAUCACAAAAAUAAUGUUUUCUUUUGCUUUGUUUUAUUCUGUCUGCAGCCAGGUUGGCAUCACAUCUUUUCUCAGUUGCCAUACCUGGAUAAAUAAAAAUUGAAUCAACAUAUA